rnacentral:rRNA from 1 species
UACGGGAGGCAGCAGUGAGGAAUAUUGGUCAAUGGGCGCAAGCCUGAACCAGCCAUGCCGCGUGCAGGAAUGAGGCCCUAUGGGUCGUAAACUGCUUUUGCUGCGGAGCAAUAAGUGCUACGUGUAACACGAUGAGAGUACGCAGCGAAUAAGCAUCGGCUAACUCCGUGCCAGCAGCCGCGGUAAU